rnacentral:rRNA from 1 species
UACGUAGGGUGCGAGCGUUGCCCGGAUUUAUUGGGCGUAAAGAGCGUGUAGGCGGUCAGGUAGGUCCGUUGUGAAAACUCGAGGCUCAACCUCGAGACGCCGAUGGAAACCAUCUGACUAGAGUCCGGAAGAGGAGAGUGGAAUUCCUGGUGUAGCGGUGAAAUGCGCAGAUAUCAGGAAGAACACCCGUGGCUAAGGCGGCUCUCUAGUACGGUACUGACGCUGAGACGCGAAAGCGUGGGGAGCGAACAGG